rnacentral:rRNA from 1 species
GUGUCAGCAGCCGCGGUAAUACAGGGGGGGCAAGCGUUGUUCGGAAUUACUGGGCGUAAAGGGUUCGUAGGUGGCCAACUAAGUCAGACGUGAAAUCCCUCAGCUUAACUGGGGAACUGCGUCUGAUACUGGUUGGCUUGAGUGCAGGAGAGGAACGCAGAAUUCCAGGUGUAGCGGUGAAAUGCGUAGAUAUCUGGAGGAAUACCGGUGGCGAAGGCGGCGUUCUGGACUGUAACUGACACUGAGGAACGAAAGCCAGGGGAGCAAACGGGAUUAGAUACCCCUGUAGUCC